AAAUGGUCACAAGCAGAGAAGUAUAAUGCCAAACUGAUUUUAUUUAAAAACAAGUCUGUCUUUGUAAUAGUGUGAUAUAGUCAAUAUUUAAAAAUUUUCGAUUUUGACAUCUAGCAUAAUGUAUAAGUUGCAAAACGUUUAAACAAUAAUUUAAGCCAAUGUUUAAACUGCAGGUAAAAUGGAUUUCCAGCUUAUUUUACUGUUGUUUAAGAAUUACAGCCAGAAUUAGUGCUGUUUGUUUUUCCAUUAGAAAAACAGAGCCAGGUAAUAUGAAUGACUGAAAUCAACAGAUUUCAAUUUGUAUGCCCAUGCAUCUCCUUCAAUAAUAAUUUUUCUGUUGUGUAUAUAGUUAAACCGGCUAUAAAGAUGAGUGCUGCCGUCUCUGUCUGUCCAGUUCAAAAGCACACGGCAACCCUGCCUACAUCAAGCACCCAUUCCUUUCAUGAAAUUACUCAAUCAUAACUUUCCAUCACUACAGAAUCUUAAAAAAACUAAUAAAAAAUCAAUAUGGACACCAUGAGGACCAAAAAAAAAAAAGGAGUCUCAGGUUUUGAGCAGUUGGCUGUCUGCAAAAAAGCAAAUAUUACAUGUAAAUAAUGUGGCAGAUUGUAACAAAUCAAGCACUCUGAAUCUGUACACAGUAUACUAGUACUCUGCAAUAAUACUAACUGCAUAAAGACAAAACUGAAAUAUUCUUGCAUUGUUAACCAGUAACACAAACAGAGUGAAUAUGAAGUUGCAACUGCACAUUCAACCAAUGUACCACAGAGGGGGGAAAAACUGACCACGUUCACAUAGUAUACUUCCCAUUUAGUCUAGUGCAAAUAUGGUCCCACCUACAAAAAAGUGCAGGUUGAAACAAAGAUACAUGGCACAAGAAAAAUCUCAUGAGAGGAUUUGUGAAGUGCUCGUUAUGCUCCGCUCCUUAUGGUAAUUCCUCAUUUGCACUGAUAAAGUUCAAGGUUUUUUUCACACAUGGGAUGCAAAGGUUUGAGAUGAAGUACUCAGAUAUUUCCCUCUAUAACUCCAUGUCUUCCUCUCCAGAGUUGAGGAGCGCUGGGCUGCUGAACAGGGGGCUAAAAGUCUGCUCAUUGGGUGCAGUGAACUGGGGCUGGGGUGGGGGGCUGCUGAUAGGCGGUACAGGGGUGGGAGUCUGUCUGCUCACUGCCAACUGCUUGCGCUGCUGUCUCUGUAAAGAGUCCUUCAGCCUCUGGGUGAGAGGGUCCUCUGGGGGGCGCCACAACACCAAUUCCAUACAAGAGCAGCUCCUGCAGAGUCUCCUCUGAGUGGCCUCUACCUCCAUGCCUGAGCCUUCUGUGGGAACUCUGGGUAGUGGAGAGGGAGUGGCUGUGAAGGGCAGACCCAUCUCCUCUGUCCUGGGUUCAGUCUGCAGUUGAACCGGGCUGGUCUCAGAAGGGGAAGUGGUGGUAGAGUCCACAGACCAUCUUUGGCUCACUUUAGGACUUGGAUACUCAUCUGCUCCUUCCUUUCCCAUCAGCUUUCGCUGUUUAGGACUGCAGCUUCUGUAGGGGAAAAAGGUCAUGAAAAACCCACUGCAGCACAUGGCAAAUCUCAUGAGUGAAAACAAUUUACUUACUCAUCAUCUGUCCUUCUCCUCUGCUUCCUCGUGCAUCUUCUAUCCCAGCUUUUAAGUUUAAAUGCACAGACAAAUAAGAUGUGAAGUCUUCAUUUAAUUGCAUAAACGAAGACUGUAUGAUAGCACAAGACACGUAUACUUACGUAUUUGGCAUAGAUCCACCUGUUAGAUGAUGCAAGUCUCUGGUUGGCUUGCUAAUUGUGCCCAAAUCAGUGUUACUAAAGUGAGCAAGGGGGGAGAAUGUGAUGAACUCCAGCUCGCUGCUUCCUGACCUGGUGCUCUGCAUGGUCCUUCAGCAGCUGAAGAUGAGCUGAAAACAUCAGAAUUAAAUAGCAACUGCAGUCACGCAGUGUGAAUAGAAGUAGAAGAAUCUGGAAAACAGAAAAAUGAAUAAAUC
ensembl:lncRNA